rnacentral:tRNA from 1 species
AGGGGUUUAGGAUAAUUUUAAGACCAAGGGCCUUCAAAGCCCUAAGUGCGGGUGAGACUCCCUCAACCCUUG